rnacentral:rRNA from 1 species
UACGAAGGGGGCUAGCGUUGUUCGGAAUUACUGGGCGUAAAGGGCGCGUAGGCGGGAUGGCAAGUCGGUCGUGAAAUCCUUCGGCUCAACCGAAGAACGUCGAUCGAUACUGCUGUUCUAGAGGGUUGCAGAGGAGACUGGAAUUCCCGGUGUAGCGGUGAAAUGUGUAGAGAUCGGGAGGAACACCCGUAGCGAAGGCGGUUCUCUGGGCCAGUACUGAACGCU